rnacentral:rRNA from 1 species
GUACACACCGCCCGUCACACCAUGAGAGUCGAUAACACCCGAAGCCUGUGAGCUAACCGCAAGGAGGCAGCAGUCGAAGGUGGGGUUGAUGAUUGGGGUGAAGUCGUAACAAGGUAUC